rnacentral:rRNA from 1 species
AAGUCGAACGGUAGCAGGAAGUGCUUGCACUUUGCUGACGAGUGGCGGACGGGUGAGUAAUACUUAGGAACAUGCCUUUGUGUGGGGGAUAACCAUUGGAAACGAUGGCUAAUACCGCAUAAUGUCUUUGGACCAAAGAGGGCUUUCGGGCUCUCGCGCAAAGAGUGGCCUAAGUGAGAUUAGCUUGUUGGUGAGGUAAAGGCUCACCAAGGCGACGAUCUCUAGCUGUUCUGAGAGGAAGAUCAGCCACACUGGGACUGAGACACGGCCCAGACUCCUACGGGAGGCAGCAGUGGGGAAUAUUGCACAAUGGGGGCAACCCUGAUGCAGCCAUGCCGCGUGUGUGAAGAAGGCCUUCGGGUUGUAAAGCACUUUCAGUUGUGAGGAAAGGUUGAUGGUUAAUACCCAUCAGCUGUGACGUUAGCAACAGAAGAAGCACCGGCUAACUCCGUGCCAGCAGCCGCGGUAAUACGGAGGGUGCGAGCGUUAAUCGGAAUUACUGGGCGUAAAGCGCACGCAGGCGGUUAUAUAAGCUAGAUGUGAAAGCCCCGGGCUCAACCUGGGAAUAGCAUUUAGAACUGUAUGACUAGAGUCUUGGAGAGGGGAGUGGAAUUCCAGGUGUAGCGG